rnacentral:rRNA from 1 species
GAAGUUGGAGUCGCUAGUAAUCGCAGAUCAGCAACGCUGCGGUGAAUACGUUCCUGGGCCUUGUACACACCGCCCGUCACGUCAUGAAGGUCGGUAACACCCGAAGCCGGUGGCCUAACCCUUGUGGAGGGAGCCGUCGAAGGUGGGAUUGGCGAUUGGGACGAAGUCGUAACAAGGUAGCCGUACCGGAAGGUGCGGCUGGAUCACCUCCUUU